GGGUUGGUAGCCUAAGCUUAGGGCGGCGGACUUUUAAUCCGAAGGUAGAGUGUAGAAGCUCUUCAACCCU
rnacentral:tRNA from 1 species